rnacentral:siRNA from 1 species
GAGGAACGCCAAGCGCACCAAUA